GCCGGCCAGAUGUGGCGGGGGAGAGCCGGGGCUUUGCUCCGGGUGUGGGGGUUUUGGCCGACAGGGGUUCCCAGAAGGAGACCGCUAAGCUGCGAUGCUGCGUCGCAGGCGGGAAGCAAUUAUCCCCGCUGUUGGAACUGCGGCGGCCCAUGGGGCCCCGGGCGGGAGGACAGGUUCUUCUGCCCACAGUGCCGAGCGCUGCAGGCACCUGACCCCACUCGAGACUACUUCAGCCUUAUGGACUGCAACCGUUCCUUCAGAGUUGAUACAGCGAAGCUCCAGCACAGGUACCAGCAACUGCAGCGUCUUGUCCACCCAGAUUUCUUCAGCCAGAGGUCUCAGACUGAAAAGGACUUCUCAGAGAAGCAUUCGACCCUGGUGAAUGAUGCCUAUAAGACCCUCCUGGCCCCCCUGAGCAGAGGACUGUACCUUGUAAGCUCCAUGGAAUAGAGAUUCCUGAAAGGACAGAUUAUGAAAUGGACAGGCAAUUCCUCAUAGAAAUAAUGGAAAUCAAUGAAAAACUCGCAGAAGCUGAAAGUGAAGCUGCCAUGAAAGAGAUUGAAUCCAUUGUCAAAGCUAAACAGAAAGAAUUUACUGACAAUGUGAGCAGUGCUUUUGAACAAGAUGACUUUGAAGAAGCCAAGGAAAUUUUGACAAAGAUGAGAUACUUUUCAAAUAUAGAAGAAAAGAUCAAGUUAAAGAAGAUUCCCCUUUAAUUGUGGAUAGUUUAAAGUUUAAAAAAUAAAGUUCUUGCUGGGCACAGUGGCUCACACCUGUAAUCCCAGCACUUUGGGAGGCUGAGGUGGGUGGAUGACAAGGUCAGGAGUUCAAGACCAGCUUGGCCAACAUAGUGAAACCCCGUCUCUGCUGAAAAUACAAAAAUUAGCCGGGCAUGGUGGCGCGUGCCUGUAAUCCCAGCUACUUGGUAGGCCGAGGCAGGAGAAUCGCUUAAACCCGUGAGGUGGAGGUUGCAGUGAGCAGAGAUCACGCAACUGCACUCCAGCUUGGGCAACAGAGUGAGACUUAAUCU
rnacentral:lncRNA from 1 species